GACAGAGGGUGCAAACGUUGCUCGGAAUUACUGGGCGUAAAGAGUGUGUAGGCGGUGUUCCCAGUCUGUUGUGAAAUCUCCCGGCUUAACUGGGAGGGUGCAGCGGAAACUAGAAUGCUAGAGGGUGGGAGAGGUAAGCGGAAUUCCUGGUGUAGCGGUGAAAUGCGUAGAUAUCAGGAGGAACACCUGUGGUGUAGACAGCUUACUGGACCACUUCUGACGCUGAGACACGAAAGCGUGGGUAGCAAACAGG
rnacentral:rRNA from 1 species